rnacentral:lncRNA from 1 species
GCCUGUUCUCUAUAGAAUCCAGUACCACCAGCCCAGAGGUGACUCUACCCAUGAUUGACUGGGCCCUUCAAUCACUAAUUAUGAAAAUGCCCUACAUGUUUGCCUGCACCCUGAUUUUUGGAAGCAUUUUCUCAAUUGACAAAAUAUACUCAUCUCUCAAAUAAUUCUAGCUUGUGUCAAGUUAACAGAAAAUUAGCACAGUAUGGAAAACUACAGAAUUUUAGCUAGAAAACUUUAAAUAAUUUAGUGUUGGGAGUGGUUGGUGUGUAUCUUUAACUCCAGCCAGCACUUGGCAGGCAAAGUUACAUUAGUAGAUCUCUGUGAGUUAAAGGUGUGCUUGGUCUCUACAGUGAGUUCUAGUUCUAGUGUUUAACCGUUCCGUGUUCUUCCCAUAUGUAGAUCACCAAUUUGUCAAUAAUGAUGUUCAUCACUAGUUAUAUUGGCUUAAAAAAAAGUAUGUGUGUAUAGCUAGUAUAUAUAGUGCUCAGAGGUUAAGAGCACUUGCUCUUUCAGAGAACCUGGGUUUGGUUCUCAGCCCCACAACCUGCACUCCAGCUCCUGGGAGUCUCACACCCUUUUCUGACUUGUUCAUGCAUUGUUUGCACACAUGUACUAAACAGACAGAUGCAAGAAAACACAGAUGAUAGUAACUUUAAAAGGAUGUGAAGCUGUGAAAUGAAAGAAUCAGAUAUAGAGGGGUGUGGUCUAAUGUUUGAUUUGUUAUAGAGGGUGGGGUCUAAUGUUUGAUUUGUUAGAUGUGAAGGGGUGGGGUCUAAUGAUUGAUUUGUUAGAUAUGGAGGGGGUGGGGUCUAAUGUUUGAUUUGUUUGUUUGUUGCUUGAGAUGCUGACUUAUCCAGGCAGAGGCUGUUGGGUCUCUGUGAGGUCAAGGUCAGGUUCCUUGAUAUAUAGCAAGUUCCAGGACAGCCAGAGCUACAUAGACCCUAAAAAUAAUAUAAAGAUAAGUAAACCUACAUAUUCUGUGUUGCCAUUAUGGUAUUGAGCUUAGUGUCUGUUUUAAGAUGUGUUCUCACCUUGUAAAUGCCUGGUCUGGUACUGGAAUGUACACCAAACUGGCCUUGCAUUUAGAGAUUCACCUGCCUUUACCUUCUGAGUGUCAGGAUUAAAGGCGUGGGAAUAAUACUUGGUCUUUAUUUCUGUUAAUAGUGUAUCAAACUAGCAUAAUAGGGAUCCCAAAUUAUAAUGAAUUAAUUAGAAUAGGAUUCUCUUUUUAAUUUUUUUAAAAUUAGAUAUCUUCUUUAUUUACAUUUCACAUGUUAUCCUCCCCUUUCCUGGUUUCUCCUCCAAAAACCCUCUGUUUACCAACCCACCCACUCCCACUUCAGAAUAGGGUUCUCUUGUAUCUCCUACUCGUUCAGUUAAGAUUCUUUUUUCCUUUUCCUUUUUUUUUUUUUUUUUUUUUGAGACAGUGUAGUCUUGGCUGUCCUGGAACUCACUCUGUAGACCAGGCUGGGCUCAAACUCAGAAAUCCGCCUGCCUCUGCCUUCAAAGUGCUGAGAUUAAAGGCAUGUGCUACCACUGCCCAGCCUCCUUUUGAUUUCUUGUUUUUCUUUCUCCCAAGUUUUAUCAAAGCAGUUACCACUUUGAUGACUAAAUCUUAGUCCACUGAGAGGAGUGGAGGAAAGGGCAAAGAGUAAAGCCAGAGGGUGAUGAGCAAGGUAUAUUCUCCCUUUUUGUCAUAGUACAGUGGAGAGAUCUUCACCAGCUACACGGGCAGCUGAGAAGCACUCUGAAACUGGAUUGCCAAGUGACUAGCUAAAUAAACUUCAGUUACCAAUGAAGACUGCAUGAUGCUGCAUGUGGUGGUGCAUGCCUUUAAUCCCACACUUGAGAAGCAGAGGAGAGGGGGCUGGUGAGAUGGCUCAGUGAGCAAGAACACUGACUGCUCUCCCGAAGGUCCUGAAUUCAACUCCUAGCAAUCACAUGGCGGCUCACAACCACCUGUAAUGGAAUCUGAUGCCCUCUUCUGGUGCAUCUGAAGACUACUACAGUGUACUUAUUUAAAUAAUAAGUAAAUCUUUGGGCCAGAGUGAACAGGGUUGACCAAAGCAAGCAGAAGUCCUAAAUUCAAUUCCCAACAACCAUAUGAUGGCUCACAAGUAUCUGUACAGCUACACCGUGUACUCAGACACAUAAAAUAAAUAAAUCUUUUUUUAAAAAGAGAAGCAGAGGAGGUAGUUUUUUGUGAGUUGGAGACCAGCCUGUGAGUUCUAAGGUAACUAGGGCUAUGUAGAAAGACUUUGUCUCAAUUAACCAAGCCAAAAAAUAUUGAGACAGCAAAAAAAUUCCGAUACCUGCUAAAUAUUUUAGAAUUUAUUUCUGUCUUUAGCUUGAGAAGGCACAUUGAUCGGGCUUUAAUAAGUUAACAAAAAAUAUUUUUGAUACAUUCUAAUGGUAGCUCAAUCUAUCCUUGACCUUCUGAUCCUCCCACGUCCAGCCUAAAUAUUUCUCCCAUAGUCUCUCCCUCCCAUCUGCCAAUCCAGUUACAUACAGGAUGUCUCUAGUAUGUAACUCUGGUUGUACUAGAACUCACUAAAGUUCACAAAAGAUCCACCUGUCUCUUUCUCUGCUGGGAUUAAAUAAGAGUCCAAAUAGGACCCAAAAUCCAUUACAAAGAUGAAAGAAAGGCCCUUUGAAUCAGUCCUUAUCACCACCCUGGGCAAAAAAGGGAAGGAAAAAUUAUUUUGACAGAAGGUAGAGGCAAGAGUGUCUCUGUAAAUUUGAGCCUAGCUUGGUCUACAUAGCUAACUCCAAGAAAGCAAGGAAUAUGUAGAGACCCUGUCUCAAAAAACAAACCAAGCCAGGUGGUGGUGGCCCACGCCUUUAAUCCCAAUACCCCAGAGGCAGAGGCAAGCAGAUCUUUGGGAGUUCCAGGAUAGCCAGAGCUGUUACACAGAAACUGGGGAAAAACAUACCCAAAAGCCUCUUGAGUUUUUGUAUAUUUGUAAGUAUUUCAAAGAUAUACCCUGGUCACCUUGUUCGUCCUCAUCUGAUUUUGAGGGGUUUUGUUUGUUUGUUAAUUUGUUUUUUCACCAUACCAGUUAUUGUGAAAUACAACUUUAGAUUCUUUUGCAUGGGAAGUAUCCUUAAAGGGAGGCCUAUGACUAUAUAACACCCUGUUCUGCUGUGGAGGACAUUUCAGAGCACUGCUAAUUUGACCAUUUCCUAAGGAACAUUUUGUUGUCAUUACUGUUUUGUUUUGGCAGCUGCAGAUACUGCUGGUGUUUUUUACUUGUGUUGUGCUGGCACAGACAAAUUCAGGUGUUGGGAGUUAAGAGUUGUGAGCUGCUAAACUGGGCCAGAUGCUAUGACCUACAUAAUCUGUUGGUACUGGUAGUAAAGACUGUUGACUUUUUGGGCUUUUAGUUCAUUUCAUUCUUUGAAGGGAAGAAAAUGGCUAGACAUAGUAUCACACACCUUUCAGGAAGAGGCUGGUAGAUAUCUGAAUUCAAGGCCAGCCUGGUCUACAAAGUGAAACCCCGUCUCAAUAAAUUUAAUACAAGGAGCUGGGCAUGGUUGUACACACCUUUAGCUCUAGCAUUCAAGAGUCAGGAGGAUCUCUGAGUUCAGGCCAGCUUAGAGAGAGUUCUAAGACAUGGAGGGAUGCAUAGAGAACCUGUCUCAAAAUACC